GACGAACGCUGGCGGCGUGCUUAACACAUGCAAGUCGAACGGAAAGGCGCUGUUUUUGUGGUGUGCUCGAGUGGCGAACGGGUGUGUGAAACGUGAGUAUCAUGCGCUUGUGAUUGUGAUAACUUCAGGAGACUGGGGGUCAUAUCGGGUAGGAGCUACUGCUGCACGGGGGGGGUUGGAAAGAUUACGGGGCUGGGGAUGGAAUUCGGGACUGUCUGCUUGUUGGUGGGGAGGUGGCUUACCAAGGCUUUGACUGGUAGCCGGCCUGAGAGGGUGACCGGCCACAUUGGGACUGAGAUACGGCCCAGACUCCUACGGGAGGCAGCAGUGGGGAAUAUUGCACAAUGGGCGGAAGCCUGAUGCAGCAACGCCGCGUGCGGGAUGACGGCCUUCGGGUUGUAAACCGCUUUCGCCUGUGAAGAAGCGAGAGUGACGGUAAGGGGUAAAGAAGCACCGGCUAACUACGUG
rnacentral:rRNA from 1 species